GAGGUUGGGCCUGCCCGGUGAAUAACUAUUUAAACGGCCGCAGCGAAUAGCUGUGCUAAGGUAGCGUAAUAAAUUGUCUCUUAAUUGGAGAAGGGUAUGAAUGGUUUGACGUGGUAAUAUCUGUCUCAGUAAUAGUAAGGUGAAGUUUCCUUUUAGGUUAAAAGGCUUAAAUAUAGUUAAAAGACGAGAAGACCCUGUCGAGCUUGAUAAAAAUGUAAAGUGUUUUUAUAUAAUAAGUUUAGCUGGGGCAGCUGAAAACCAUAAAAUAGUUUUCUUUUUUUUGUAGAUCCGGUUUUACCGAUCAUAAGAAAAAGCUACCGCAGGGAUAACAGCGUUAUCUUUUCUGAGAGAACUAAUUGAAGAAAAGGUUUGCGACCUCGAUGUUGGAUUAAAAUUUCUUUUUGGUGUAGCAGCUAAAAUAGUAGGACUGUUCGUCCUUUAAAAUUUUACGUGAUCUGAGUUC
rnacentral:rRNA from 1 species